AUUUAUUUUUUUGAGAUGGCGUCUCCUUCUGUUGCCCAGGCUGGAGUGCAGUGGCAUGAUCUUGGCUCACUGCUUCCGCCUCCUGGGUUCAAGCAAUGCUUGUGCCUCAGCCUCCUGAGUAGCUGGGAUUACAGGCGUGUGCAACCACAUCCAGCUAAUUUUUGUAUUUUUAGUAGAGACAAAGUUUCACCAUGUUGGCCAGGCUGAUCUCAAACCUGUGGCCUCAAGUGAUCCUCCCGCCUUGGCCUCCCAAAGUGCUGGGAUUACAGUGCUGAGCCACUAUGCCCAGCCAAUAAUUUCAAAUUUAUGGAAAAGUUAUACAAAUAAAAACAGGAUAAAGAAUAUCUAUAUGCCCUUUAUCCAAACUCACCUAUUGUAAAUACUUUACUCCAU
rnacentral:lncRNA from 1 species